rnacentral:rRNA from 1 species
AGUCCUUCGGGACUUUGAGAGCGGCGUACGGGUGCGUAACACGAUGUGCAACCUACCUUUAUCAGGGGAAUAGCCUUUCGAAAGGAAGAUUAAUACCCCAUAAUAUAUUGAAUGGCAUCAUUUGAUAUUGAAAACUCCGGUGGAUAGAGAUGGGCACGCGCAAGAUUAGAUAGUUGGUGAGGUAACGGCUCACCAAGUCAAUGAUCUUUAGGGGUCCUGAGAGGGAGAUCCCCCACACUGGUACUGAGACACGGACCAGACUCCUACGGGAGGCAGCAGUGAGGAAUAUUGGACAAUGGGUGAGAGCCUGAUCCAGCCAUCCCGCGUGAAGGAUGACGGUCCUAUGGAUUGUAAACUUCUUUUGUAUAGGAAUAAACCUACUCUCGUGAGAGUAGCUGAAGGUACUAUACGAAUAAGCACCGGCUAACUCCGUGCCAGCAGCCGCGGUAAUACGGAGGGUGCAAGCGUUAUCCGGAUUUAUUGGGUUUAAAGGG